UACGUAGGGUGCAAGCGUUAAUCGGAAUUACUGGGCGUAAAGCGUGCGCAGGCGGUGAUGUAAGACCGAUGUGAAAUCCCCGGGCUCAACCUGGGAACUGCAUUUGUGACUGCAUCGCUGGAGUGCGGCAGAGGGGGAUGGAAUUCCGCGUGUAGCAGUGAAAUGCGUAGAUAUGCGGAGGAACACCGAUGGCGAAGGCAAUCCCCUGGGCCUGCACUGAAGCUCAUGCACGAAAGCGUGGGGAGCAAACAGG
rnacentral:rRNA from 1 species